GUGUUUUUUCUGUGUGUGCUGUUUUGUUAGUUUUGAAACCAGUGAAGGCAAUGCCCAGCCUGGAAGCUGUAUUUAUUUUCUGUGUUGUCAGCACAGUGCAGACAGAGAGCAGGACAGACUGUGUUGCUGGAGGACCCAGACCAGGACGUGGAUGAGAGAAGCUGCUGGAGGAACAGGCUGCAGGAAGAACCUGAAAAAAUUGGACAAAUAGCAGGUACCUGAGCCUGGUGUUUUGAGCUGUUUUGGUGUUUUUUGGGACGGGAAGAAGCCGGCCCCGGGUUUGGACGGGGCCUGUCUGUGUGGGGCUGGUCUAUAGCAAAGAGGCCAAGGACCAUUUUCGGCCUGGAGUGAUACUACGAACCGGGACACAAGGAAUACAAGGCUACAUCUUUCUGUGCCUCGCCUCUCUUAUCACGGUCGAGAAGUACCAUGAGUUAGCUGGGUUACCGGGGCCCUUCCUGCCUAUCUGCACAAUUGAACUUGUUUUUAGAUAGUAGUAAUAUAAGCCAGUUGUUUUGGGAAGAAUUGCUGUGUUAGAUAGAUUUUGUUUUUAUAGUUUUAGUUGGGGUUGUAUUUUUGUGUAAAUUGUUAUUUUUAUAAAGAUUACUUGGCUAUUAAUUGCAAUAAAAAAUGAAGCUUGCUUACCUGUGUUGUGGUCCUUGGACAUUCAUCUGGGGGGUCGGGGUUGGUGUCAUGGAAUCCCAAAAGAACAUGUAGAGAGAGAGUGGAA